rnacentral:rRNA from 1 species
GAUGAACGCUGGCGGCGUGCCUAACACAUGCAAGUCGAGCGAUUUACUUCGGUAAAGAGCGGCGGACGGGUGAGUAACGCGUGGGUAACCUGCCUCAUACACAUGGAUAACAUACCGAAAGGUAUGCUAAUACAAGAUGAUAUAAGAGAUUCGCAUGGAUUUCUUAUCAAAGCUUUUGCGGUAUGAGAUGGACCCGCGUCUGAUUAGCUAGUUGGUAAGGUAACGGCUUACCAAGGCGACGAUCAGUAGCCGACCUGAGAGGGUGAUCGGCCACAUUGGAACUGAGACACGGUCCAAACUCAUAGGGGAGGCAGCAGUGGGGAAUAUUGCACAAUGGGCGAAAGUCUGAUGCAGCAACGCCGCGUGAGCGAUGAAGGCCUUCGGGUCGUAAAGCUCUGUCCUCAAGGAAGAUAAUGACGGUACUUGAGGAGGAAGCCCCGGCUAACUACGUGCCAGCAGCCGCCGUAACAC